rnacentral:rRNA from 1 species
AGUGAACGCUGGCGGUAGGCCUAACACAUGCAAGUCGAACGGCAGCACAGUAAGAGCUUGCCCUUACGGGUGGCGAGUGGCGGACGGGUGAGGAAUACAUCGGCAUCUACUUUUUCGUGGGGGAUAACGUAGGGAAACUUACGCUAAUACCGCAUACGACCUACGGGUGAAAGCAGUGGAUCUUCGGACCUUGCGCGAUUGAAUGAGCCGAUGUCGGAUUAGCUAGUUGGCGGGGUAAAGGCCCACCAAGGCGACGAUCCGUAGCUGGUCUGAGAGGAUGAUCAGCCACACUGGAACUGAGACACGGUCCAGACUCCUACGGGAGGCAGCAGUGGGGAAUAUUGGACAAUGGGCGCAAGCCUGAUCCAGCCAUACCGCGUGGGUGAAGAAGGCCUUCGGGUUGUAAAGCCCUUUUGUUGGGAAAGAAAAGCAGCAGGUUAAUACCCCGCUGUUCUGACGGUACCCAAAGAAUAAGCACCGGCUAACUUCGUG